rnacentral:rRNA from 1 species
UGGAUCCAGACUUUGAUUAUGGCUCAGGAUGAACGCUAGCUACAGGCUUAACACAUGCAAGUCGAGGGGAAACGACAUCGAAAGCUUGCUUUUGAUGGGCGUCGACCGGCGCACGGGUGAGUAACGCGUAUCCAACCUGCCCAUCACUUGGGGAUAACCUUGCGAAAGUAAGACUAAUACCCAAUGACGUCUCUAGAAGACAUCUGAAAGAGAUUAAAGAUUUAUCGGUGAUGGAUGGGGAUGCGUCUGAUUAGCUUGUUGGCGGGGUAACGGCCCACCAAGGCUACGAUCAGUAGGGGUUCUGAGAGGAAGGUCCCCCACAUUGGAACUGAGACACGGUCCAAACUCCUACGGGAGGCAGCAGUGAGGAAUAUUGGUCAAUGGACGAGAGUCUGAACCAGCCGAGUAGCGUGCAGGAUGACGGCCCUAUGGGUUGUAAACUGCUUUUAUAAGGGAAUAAAGUGAGUCUCGUGAGACUUUUUGCAUGUACCUUAUGAAUAAGGACCGGCUAAUUCCGUGCCAGCAGCCGCGGUAAUACGGAAGGUCCGGGCGUUAUCCGGAUUUAUUGGGUUUAAAGGGAGCGUAGGCCGGAGAUUAAGCGUGUUGUGAAAUGUAGAUGCUCAACAUCUGCACUGCAGCGCGAACUGGUUUCCUUGAGUACGCACAAAGUGGGCGGAAUUCGUGGUGUAGCGGUGAAAUGCUUAGAUAUCACGAAGAACACCGAUUGCGAAGGCAGCUCACUGGAGCGCAACUGACGCUGAAAGCUCGAAAAGUGCGGGUAUCG